UGUGGCAUGCAUUUGUUCACCUGCUCCCCCACAAUGGCCCCACUACUGUCAUCAGCCUCCACUUUAUAGAUGAUGAAACUGAGGUUUGAGGAUGCUAAGUGCCCUGGCUAAGACCAUGUGGCUCAUUAGGAACAAAUUUCAACCUUGUGUUGUUGUUUUUUGUAUUUUGAGACAGAGUUUCACUCUUGUUGCCCAGGCUGGAG
rnacentral:lncRNA from 1 species